GUAACAUAACAUGAUUAUAAUUGAAGAGUUUGAUCAUGGCUCAGAUUGAACGCUGGCGGUAGGCUUAACACAUGCAAGUCGUGCGAGAAAGUAUCUUCGGAUAUGAUUAGAGCGGCGGACGGGUGAGUAACGCGUAGGAAUCUACCUAGUAGAAGGGGAUAGCCCGAGGAAACUCGGAUUAAUACCGUAUACCUCCUUCGGGAGAAAGAAGGCCUCUCUUUGAAGCUUUCGCUACUAGAUGAGCCUGCGUAAGAUUAGCUUGUUGGUGAGGUAAAGGCUCACCAAGGCGACGAUCUUUAGCGGGUCUGAGAGGACGAUCCGCCACAUUGGGACUGAGACACGGCCCAGACUCCUACGGGAGGCAGCAGU
rnacentral:rRNA from 1 species